GCCUGUGCUGGAUUAGAACUUGCGAUCUCAGAGUGGUAGUCAAGCGCUCUUCCAACUAGGUUACCAAGACUCCAUGAAAAGAAAAACUAUAAUAAUAAUAACCAAAUAGACCAAGGUGGUUAAAAAGGCCUAUCCUCUAUUAAAGCAAUAUUGCUAUUUUACUUUUAUAUGCGCAAAUGUCAAAUAGCAAUAUUUCUUUUUUAGAUGAAUUGCUUCGAUGUGGCCAUUUUAACCCCCCCUGAUGUGAUAGGAUAACAAGUGUUAGUUUAAAAAUGUGUACAUAAAACAUUUUUUUGAUAAUGUCGCAUGUAAUAGUUAUCAUUAUGUGUUUCAUAGUUGAUAAGUAAAUUCUAAUCAACACUUAGUCAGUACCUAAACCAAGGAAAAGUGAUAAAAUAUGUAGUUAUCGACAGAUAUUGCUAUCUUAUCUUUUGCAUCGCAAUCACAAACUUCGAAAAUUUAUAAAAUGGUGUCGUUGUGAAUCACGGCUCACAAACAACAAUACACCCGAGUUGUUACGUCAUGGGUAACUGCUGCUGUUGCUGUGGGGAUUCUGGUGGUGGUGGAGUGAACGUGGUGGAGCAGCCAGGAUGGGGCGGUGGUGGGGGGGAUCCGGGCUCUGAAGUUGUCGUAGUCGACGGACCUGGCGGCAUGGGCAUGUCUAGAUGACCUUCGUAGUACAAAAGCGCGGCGUACUGUGUAGUUAGCUUGUAAUAGAAGUCUCAUCUUCUUAUCGUUUGGAUGGCAUACUAUAUUUUUUUAUCAGCGUUGCCAUGUUUGUUGGAUCCACGAAAAGUUCUUGUCUUUGGAGAUGUAAGGAAGUUUUAUAAUCUCUAAAGGGCAGUGGAAUCCAGAAAAUAAUCCCGCUCUUUUCGUUCAAUAAAUAAGUUGAUACGUAAGUAGGUACAUGCGCUGUGCGUAAAACGAAAGCGGAUUAAAAUAAAAGUGCGUGUGAUGGAUAAGGCAAUGUUACUAUAUUGUAAACAAAGGAGAUGAUAUAGACAGAUAGACAAAUGUUAAAACAACUACAGGCACGUUUGUUUAUUACCGGCUAGAGACACAGUAAAAUGCAGUUCCUCUGUAGACACAGAACUGAAGCCUUUCUCCAAAGAUGAUAGGCUAAAUUAAUGUACUUAAUGUAUAAGAAUAAUUGUAAAUGGACCAAAUAUUAAAUAAAUAAAUAUUUUU